UAUACUAUUCUUUAAAUUUAUUGCCGAAAUUAUGAUAAUUUAAUAGAAAAUUACUAGUUAAUAGUUAGUACGUGUAUCAAGUGCUCGGUGUAAACUAGUGUAAACUAGGCCUAUGAAUCGAGAAGAGGAGGCUCUUGGAUCUUCGAAAGCGGCGGCUGAGACUACCGAGACGGAGCUGGACGGAGCGAUCAGCGAACGGAUAUGUGUUUGUGAUUUCCGAUCAUCAGUUUGUUUCCUAUGUCCCAUGGAGCAAAACUUGUAAAUGCGCAAUCAAUGCAAGCCAAUGACAAAUACUAUUCCGGCAGAUCUCGUGUAAAUGAUCUACGGGAAGGCUCUUACGAUUGAUCAGCGCUAAUUUCGCAUUCCGCAAUUUUCGCUUAAUGGGACAUAUAGAAAAAUACACCUUAGCGGAGCGGAAUCGGAGGAAUAAAGCCGCUACCAAUCACGAACGUUCCGCAGUUCCGCCAUCCCAUGUGAGCGCACCCUUAGAUCUUUCGAAGUUGAAAUUAAAGAUAAGAUGCGAUUUUAUGAUUUGUCAUUAACACUGUGAUUUUUUUCUUAAAUCACAACGCGACAUACAAUAUAAUUUUGUUGUGAAAUGAUUGUACAAUUAAAAAUCGCAAAUGCUCAAAAUCGAACUUACCAUACAGCACUGAAGCUUCCAGUAAUAUUUCAAAAACAUUAUAACAUCACAAAUUA